rnacentral:rRNA from 1 species
GAAUAUUGCACAAUGGGCGCAAGCCUGAUGCAGCCAUGCCGCGUGGGUGAAGAAGGCCCUAGGGUUGUAAACCCCUUUCAGCGGGGAAGAUAAUGACGGUACCCGCAGAAGACGCCCCGGCUAACCCCGUGCCAGCAGCCGCGGUAAUACGGAGGGGGCUAGCGUUGUUCGGAAUUACUGGGCGUAAAGCGCGCGUAGGCGGAUCUGCAAGUCAGGGGUGAAAUCCCGAGGCUCAACCUCGGAACUGCCUUUGAUACUGCGGGUCUCGAGUCCGAGAGAGGUGAGUGGAAUUCCUAGUGUAGAGGUGAAAUUCGUAGAUAUUAGGAAGAACACCAGUGGCGAAGGCGGCUCACUGGCUCGGUACUGACGCUGAGGCGCGAAAGCGUGGGGAGCAAACAGG